CCCUUAGAUGUUCUGGGCAGCACGCGCGCUACAAUGGUCUUCGCAAACGGAUGCAUUCUCGAAGGAGAAUGCCAAUCUUGGAAUCUAUGCCUUGGUCGGGACAGUUGCUUGCAAUUUUUCGACUCGAACCAGGAAUUCCUUGUAAUCGUGAAUCAUCACAUCACGAUGAAUACGUCCCUGCCCUUUGUACACACCGCCCGUCGCUCCUACCGAUCGAAGAGUUAGGUGAAUUGUUUUGAUCGAUAAGAUUUGACUAUGGUCAACUCUCGUUGUGAAAUUCUGUGAAUCUGACUGUUUAGAGGAAGGAAAAGUCGUAACA
rnacentral:rRNA from 1 species